rnacentral:rRNA from 1 species
CCUACGGGAGGCAGCAGUGAGGAAUAUUGGUCAAUGGGAGGAAUCCUGAACCAGCCAUGCCGCGUGCAGGACGACGGCUCUACGAGUUGUCAACUGCUUUUGUACCGGGGUAAAAUGCCUUACGUGUAGGGUUUUGAAAGUACGGUACGAAUAAGGAUCGGCUAACUCCGUGCCAGCAGCCGCGGUAAUACGGAGGAUCCGAGCGUUAUCCGGAUUCAUUGGGUUUAAGGGGUGCGUAGGUUGUUUUAUAAGUUAGCGGUGAAAUACCGAUGCUAAACAUCGGGGCUGCAGCUAAUAAUGUAAGCCUAGAGAUCCGAUGCAGCAGGCGGAAUGUGUAGUGUAGCGGUGAAAUGCAUAGAUAUUACACAGAACACCGAUUGCGAAGGCAGCUUGCUAAGCCGGAUCUGACACUGAUGCACGAAAGCGUGGGGAUCGAACAGGAUUAGAUACCAUAGUAGUC